CAGGUUAGUCCACCUUGAAAUUCAAAGCCUUUGAUUUUUCAGCUCAGGUUGAUCCGUGGCCAGUGUGGGUGAGAGAUCACAGGGCGGACGUCAGGGCACCCAGGCAGCCAGCUCAGCACAGACCCUGAACUUAAGUUUAUGAGUACAAGUGGCAGAGAAUGUGUGUUGGACCCCUGAAGAGCCAAACAUCAGGCUAACGCGAAGCAGCCCUUGCAGGUAGGGGCCGUUGCAACGUCUAUACUGAGAGACGUCAGAGUGGAGACAUCAACAAGUAAGCGUAGAGGUACCUGACAGAAGGACAUCACGUCACCUUGACUCUCCUUUUGUUCAGAGAACUCAUAGGCUUUUAGUUACGUUUUCUGAGUAUGAAGCUGGGCAGUAUCCUCAGUAGAUAGCAAACUUCAUGAGGGCAAGUAUUAUGUAACCUCAAUGAUCAAGAAAACUUCUGCCCCAUGGAAAGGAGGCCAGAUGGAUGUCUAAAGAGCAUGCAGAAGUCCUGAAGCUACAGAUCCCUCUCCAAGUGAAGACAAAGGAGCCAGAGAAACCAUCCAAACAGCUUUCGUCAAGUGCAAAAAGAACAGCCUGGAGGACAAUCAUGACAGUGAGAAAAGUAGCUUGCUCCAGGCUACAGUGGCUCCAGGCUCUGUGGCUCCAGGCUGUGUGGCUCCAGGAAGAAUAAAACUUUUUUCAGUUUUCAGAUUAAACAAAGACCUAACUGAGUAUGCGAUUCCUCAUUUGACAUUUAAGUAUUUAGUAGAAGAAAUUCUGUAUCAUAUCAUAUUGAUAAUUAUGUCUAUAGUUUUGCUGAUCUGUCACAGUAAAUCAACCAAACUAAAGUGAAAGCUGACUUUCAAUUCAUAGGUAAUGUGUCCUUCCCCCGCCCCACUGCACCAUCACCUUCCCUCCCCAACUCCUGGGCCACCAACACCUCACAGCAAAGAACUCACGUUUACAGACUAAUUCUGUGUUACAUUAGUGGGUUUGCCAAACAGUACAUGAUACCGUUUUAGUGUCAGUGAUAUCUACACAAGUUUUUGCUUCCUUUGCUUAGUAUCCUUUCUUCUGAAUUCUCAGAAGAUAUACCUAGAAAAUAAGUGGUGAUGAGUAAUGUAAAAAACCAAAUUGGGCAUUAAAAUUCUUUCACAUCUACUGUCACUAAUUUCUGGAAAAGACAAUAGGUCCAGAGAGU